UGUGUGUGGUGUGUGUGGUGUGUGUGUGCUGUGUGUUCGGGUGAAGGAGAAGAAGAAGACAAUUGCUUCUUUAUAAUUAACACCCUCAAAACAUUAUUCACUUCAGCAGUUUGACAGUCAGGCUCGGUUUUACUUAAUAAGUACAAAGAAAUUUUAAUCUUUCAGUUUCGACCAUAUUUGGUCAUCGAAAGCUCUACCGAACUGUAAUCUCUAGCAGAUAGCAGUCGGAUUUUAUUUUCUACCUUCCAGGUGUCAGAUUGACAUGAAACUUUAAAUCUAGCCUCAUAAAAAUAAUUCCGACAUAUUCACCAGUUUUCAUAAUUUUCUGACACUGUGCAUUUUUUGCUAAAAUAUCAGUCCUGUUUCGCACAGAAAAUUCUAAAUCUUCUGUUUUUGUUCCGAUUUCAGCACAAGUCAUUUCUGACUUAUAUUUUACUUCUCUAAAUCCAAUAAAAAUAGUAUCUCAUACUAUUUUUAUUUAUUUUUUACUUUUAUAUCAAAAUCUGAUAUGUUACAUUCUCUACCCUUUAAAAGAAUUUUGUCCGCAAAAUUCAAACCGCGCCUCAAUUCAGCUCCUCGAGCAAUUGA
rnacentral:lncRNA from 1 species